AUCCUACUUCGUCAAAAUUAUCUCCCCAUUACGCCAGUUCAUUUUCACAAUCGUAAAAUCGGAAGCCAUUGUAGGGAUGACGCGCUACCAAUUUUGCUCUUGGAAACCGAUAAAUUUAUCCACAUUGCACCAUUACGAUCCUUAUAUUGUAGAUGUAUUUUUAAAGACAAAUGUAUCAACUAGCUAAUGGUCAUCAGUUAAUAAUCUUGUCUGCAUUGAUUCAACUUAAAACUAUUGUCUGAUCGGUUGUCAGGUGGAAUUUUCAAAAAUUCAU
rnacentral:lncRNA from 1 species